UGGUGGAGUGAUUUGUCUGGUUGAUUCCGUUAACGAACGAGAUCUUGACUCUUCAAUGACAGUUCGAUCGACUUGUAGUUCAAUGCCUUGAUACUCCGGUUAUUGGUUUGGAUGAGAUCGAAUCUUGUACUCAAGGGGACGAUGCAUGUUUACAAUGCAUGGAAGUGCGAGCCAAUAGCA
rnacentral:rRNA from 1 species